ACUUUGCAAUACACGAAAGUGUGACAGGGCUAUCCCGAGUGCCAUCCGCUGAGGAAGGCUUUUACCCAGUCUAGAACGCUGGGGGAAUAAGGAGAGGGCAAGUCUGGCGUCAGCCGCCGCGGUAAUACCAGCUCUCCGAGUGGUGUGGAUGUUUAUUGGGCCUAAAGCAUCCGUAGCUGGCUAAGUUAGUCCCCUGUUAAAUCCAACGAAUUAAUCGUUGGAUCGCGGGGGAUACUGCUUGGCUAGGGGACGAGAGAGGCAGACGGUAUUUCCGGGGUAGGGGUGAAAUCCUAUAAUCCCGGGAAGACCACCAGUGGCGAAGGCUGUCUGCUAGAACGCGCCCGACGGUGAGGGAUGAAAGCUGGGGGAGCGAACCGG
rnacentral:rRNA from 1 species